GAUUUUUUUGUUGUUAUUCUGUCUCUCACUGUUCAAAUAAAUCUACCAUUAAAAUUAUAGACUGAUCAUUUCUUUGUCAGUGGGCAAACGUACAAAAUCAGCAGGGGAUAAAAUACUUUUUUCCCUCACUGUAUUGGCACCCUUACAUUACAAAACUUCAUCAUGAACACCCAGAAACUGCAUAACAUUUUGUGUCUAGUAAACAUUUUUACAUUGAUGUUGAAAUAUUCCCUUCUGGCAAAGUCUUAACCUCCUGUCAGAGGCAUCCAAAUAUGGAUUGAGAAUCCUAAUGAGGAAGCCAAAGGAAACAGUGGCAAUGGAAAAGCUGCCUGAAACAACAUGAAGAAGAAACCUGGAGAGGAACCAGAUUCAAAAGAGAAAAUUCCUCUUCUGGGUUACACGGGAUAGUGUGAUUUAUGAAUUAUUACUUUUCUACAGCUGUGUACUAUAAAAUCAUAUAGUACUGAGUGUGUUUUAAAGAAUGGUCAUUGAGAAUCAUGGUCUUUUAAGACUUCAUUAGAGUUUUAGCUUUAAAACACUAGUAUCCAAGUGAAAUCAUUCACUGAAGAAUGGGUGACUCAUAAGCUGGUUUUGGGAAGUUUUCUUUAGGCUGUCCAAGUGGGACCAUCCUUAGCAGCAGUGAUUUCAAGUGACAGAAGCCCAAAGAAGAAAUAUAGCAUCAGGAUGGGCCAGACUGGUCUGGAGGACAGAGGACAUCAGGAUCAACCACAUUUAUGCAUCAGGACUAGCUUAUUAGGUGAUGGUCGCAGCCAUAGAGAUAGUGAGUGAUCAAACUGACAGAGCGUGCAACAGACACACACAUGCAUGCCAAGGAACUGGAAUGGCGCUAUAGUCAUAAGUUCGUAACAGAUCCUUUUCGGUUGUUGUUGUUGUUUUAAAGUGCGUUGAAAAGCACGGUGUAAAUAAAUGCGAGCCCAGAGCUCUGCUAAAAUUCCGCCGACUUCGAGUCUUCCUCCGCACUCCCAGGUUCCACAGCCUCCUUGCUCAGACAUACUUUUUCAGUUCAGUCCACUAAUGGAUUCAGGUCAGGGCUUAUGCUUAGGAUCACUGUCCUGCUGGAAGAUCCACAUACAACCAAGUUUUAACUUUCUGGCUGAUUUCUUGAGGUGUUGCAUCAGUAUUUCUACAUAAUCCUUCUUCCUCAUGAUGCUAUCUAUAUUUUUAAGUGUAACAGUUUUCCAGGAAAAACACCUCUAUGCUUUACAGGUGGGAUGGUGUUCUUUGAAAUAAAAGCCUUGCCCUUUUUCCACCAUACAUAGUGCUAAUCAAUAUGGCCAAAAAGUUCAAUGUUUGUUAUAUUUUACCAGAAAUUAAAAUGACUCGGAAAGACUGGUGAUCAUCAAAAUUCAGUCUGGCUUUUUUAUUCUGGUUUUUGAAUAGGGGCUUCUUCUUUGCGUGAUAGUAAUUCAGGACAUGGCGAUGUUGGACUUUGUUAAUGAUUGAUGCAUGUAAAUGUUUAAUGUUGAAAAAUUAUCUGCCAAUAGAACAAGAUUAUUUCAAGCUUGAAAUCAGUUUUUUUAAGGGUCUAGAAAUGGGUUUAAUAAUCUUAUAAUAGAAAAUACUAGAUACAAAUAUUUCUAUGUUCAAAAUAUAUAUGACACACAGUUGGG
ensembl:lncRNA